GGAACGAACGCUGGCGGCGUGGAUUAGGCAUGCAAGUCGAACGCGAAAGAGGGGGGGGUAACUCCCCUCUAGUAGAGUGGCGAACGGGUGAGUAACGCGUGAAGAACCUGCCUUCAACAGGGGGAUAACACUCCCAACGGGGUGCUAAUACCGCAUGAGACCACGGGAUCGCAUGGUCCUGAGGUCAAAGGUGGCCUCUAUUUAUAAGCUACCGGUUGAAGAUGGCUUCGCGUCCCAUUAGCUAGUUGGCGUGUAAAAGACCACCAAGGCGACGAUGGGUA
rnacentral:rRNA from 1 species